AUGGCAAGACUGAAAUUAGAGUUCACAAAUAUUGAUGCCAUCUCUGAUGAAGAUUUCCGGUGCACAAUGGAUCAAGAUAAAAUUCGUGACUACAAUGUGCACACAGAGUACCAGGUCCCUGAAGUAUCGAGGAGUUUGAUGCAAACGACAAAGAUAAUCUCCCUGUGUUGCAGCGAAGCAAAUAAUUGCGAGCAAGAGACUGUGAUCUUCUUCGCUGUGAGAGAUUUGUCUCAGACCGAGGAGUUAGCAUUACUUGUUCCUCAACAUUGUGCCAAGAUCACUAGCUUAGGACCCCCUACCAGAGAUCCGUCAGUUUUAGCACGGACAAUCAGUUAG
rnacentral:rRNA from 1 species